rnacentral:rRNA from 1 species
GACGAACGCUGGCGGCGUGCUUAACACAUGCAAGUCGAACGAAGAGCGAUGGAAGCUUGCUUCUAUCAAUCUUAGUGGCGAACGGGCGAAUAACGCGUAAUCAACCUGCCCUUCAGAGGGGGACAACAGUUGGAAACGACUGCUAAUACCGCAUACGAUCCAAUCUCGGCAUCGAGACUGGAUGAAAGGUGGCCUCUAUUUAUAAGCUAUCACUGAAGGAGGGGAUUGCGUCUGAUUAGCUAGUUGGAGGGGUAACGGCCCAUCAAGGCGAUGAUCAGUAGCCGGUCUGAGAGGAUGAACGGCCACAUUGGGACUGAGACACGGCCCAGACUCCUACGGGAGGCAGCAGUGGGGAAUCUUCCGCAAUGGACGAAAGUCUGACGGAGCAACGCCGCGUGAGUGAUGACGGCCUUCGGGUUGUAAAGCUCUGUUAAUCGGGACGAAGGUUCUUGUGCAAAUAGUGCGAGGA